rnacentral:rRNA from 1 species
AGUGAACGCUGGCGGCAGGCCUAACACAUGCAAGUCGAGCGGCAGCGGGUCCUUCGGGAUGCCGGCGAGCGGCGGACGGGUGAGGAAUGCAUCGGAAUCUGCCCUGUCGUGGGGGAUAACCUCGGGAAACUUAGGCUAAUACCGCAUACGACCCACGGGUGAAAGCGGGGGAUCGCAAGACCUCGCGCGAUAGGAUGAGCCGAUGUCCGAUUAGCUAGUUGGCGGGGUAAAGGCCCACCAAGGCGACGAUCGGUAGCUGGUCUGAGAGGAUGAUCAGCCACACUGGGACUGAGACACGGCCCAGACUCCUACGGGAGGCAGCAGUGGGGAAUAUUGGACAAUGGGCGCAAGCCUGAUCCAGCCAUGCCGCGUGGGUGAAGAAGGCCUUCGGGUUGUAAAGCCCUUUUGUCCGGGAAGAAAUCGUCUGGGCUAAUACCCCGGGCGGAUGACGGUACCGGAAGAAUAAGCACCGGCUAACUUCGUG